UCCAUCUAGAUAUCCAACCGAUCCCUCCUCCCUAUUCCUUCUCUCUCCUCAUGAUGGAAAUAUUCCACCGUCCCAUCUUCUUUCUCCCAUGGACUCAUUUUUCUCUCUCCUCGCAUGGAAACUAUUCCACCGAGCCUUCAUAUCUCCAUUCUCUCUCGGUUCCCACCAAGGAUAACAAUGCAACCGUCUCUCUCAAACUGAUGCAAACAAGUUAGGGCAUGGAUCUAGCGUGGUCAAGGGGAUUACUGCCUCAAAUUUAUUUUCAUCUUCAGAUCAGGAGAUCUUGAUUUACCCAACGGAAAGGAAUUCCAUGGUCUCUCUCAAACUGAUUGAAACAAGUUAGGGCAUGGAUCUGGCAUGGUCAACCGGUGAAUCGUUCUCAUUGGCAAGCACACGAAAAGAUUUGAUCGGGCGCUCUCUCAGUUUGAGUUUCUGUUUGGCAUGCACCUCUGUACGCUAUUUGCCUACAGGGCAUGAAGUUGUCGAUCGAGGAACAACUAAUGCACAUGGUACGAGUACAAAAAAGGUUAUGUUUCAGUCCAGUUCGCUUUUGUGACAUCCUAUACUUGGACUUUGUUUCUGAAGUUCUAUCUUAUAUGUGCAGUUUUUUCACGUUCUAUGCUAAGCUUGAUUUGAUUGGUUUUUUAAGAAUUCCAGCUGUUUCUUUGUUUUUUUACGUUCCAAGCAUGGAUAUGUCGUUCAUUUUGUUUUCUCCAGGGAUUAUAAUGGACAGAUAGAAGGUGUAGCUGUAUAGUAGUACAAUCACAGCUUCCCUUCUAAUUUUAAUCAGGUAUGUUCUCUAUGUUUCGUGUAAUUUCUUUGAAGGACGACCAGUCAAUUGUUUCCCAGGAUAGCAUCAUUGUUGGGCACAGGUUAUUGUCUGCAAGACAACAAAUUCUCAUGUUCCAGGGAAUAGACUUUGCAUGUAUGUAGAAAUUUUGACCUUAUCCAUGCAAGUCACCAGAUCACAAAAUUGGAGCGAUUCUCAUAGACAUUUUCUGAAUGUCUGACACUAAACUGGAGCAGACCUAUGGCAACCCGGACCUGCAAAAUAAGCCCAUGAAUCAUAUAUCAUCAGGUCACUGUCUUGGCAAGCUUUACAAUGCUUAAUGCAUCGGAGGUUCAGGUUAGAGUUGCCCAUCUUCUGUCGAGUUGUUUUUCUGAUUGUUAGGGUACUGAAUUUGCAUUACUAAUAAGCAAGGAUUGGUCUUCACAUCAGUUGAUGCACUGCAACUUUGGUAAGUUGGUCUAGAUUAAAAUAAUGAUGGAAGCAUGUUUGGUUUAGAGAGCAGAGUGAUAUGUUAAACGUGUUUUGUUCGAGAUUUUGCAGCAUAAUCAGAUUACUUGCCCAGUAACCCGAGCCUAUGUAAACAUACAAAAAGAACUCCAUGGCAGUCAAACCCAAUACACCUCGGGUACCGCAACUAGACGCAACCAUAUUCCAGUGUACCAAGCUAUAAAGGCCAUUCCUACAUAGAAGCAACAACUUUGAACAUGUAAGAAAUGAAGAUAAUGAACAUCAAGAUAUAUAUUUACUUCUUUUUUAGUGUUCUCAGCCUGUUUGUUCUUUGAAACGUGAACAUGAUUAAGUCUUCUUUUGUUAAUGCCAUGCUGAGCCGGAGUCUUAAAAGAAGUUUCAAAGUUUUUCAGAAUAAUAUGCAUGCUAAUUUGUAGGAACCAAAGCAUUCGGUUUUGUUCGGUUUGAUAAAUAAUAUUUUAGACAAAUAACGUCUCAGUAUUACGAUUAAUACAAUUCCAAAUUUGUUUUCGAUUCAUUAUACCAAAUUAUUUCAGUAAGCAUUUAGUAAAAUUUUGUAUAUACGUCAAUAUAUUAGCAUUUUGCUUUUAAGAAAAGACUAAUAUAAUCAAAGUAGACAAGCUUAGAUCAACACAUUAUGAUGUGAUGGAAGCAAAGGAGAUGCGCAAAAAUGCAACCAUUGAAAUAUGUACAGCAGCUCAACCACGUGACUAUUUUCUUUAUGCAUGAUUUUAACGUUUUCAGUAUAUCAGUUGGAGACUAGGCUUUUCCCUUUUUAUGAGAAAAUUAUGGACAAAAAAGAAGAAAUAAAAAAUGGUCUCUAAUGUGUGCAUUUAUUCCUCUUCUCUUUUAAAAAUUCAAACUGUUCUUCUGUAGAUUUUGUGAGGCUACUUAAUCUUACAUGUAAACUGAACUUCUUAAUUACUCCAGGGACAUGUAGGUGAACGAACAAUCAGCAAAUUAUAUUUUUUAUGUGUUGAAGGCAUUAUAUGCCAUGUUUAGAAGAGGUCAAAUAAUUUGAUUUUUUUAUCUAUAUAGAGAAUAUUUGAGUAUAUGCUACAUUUAAUAUUCUAUUAUUUGAAGUAUUACAUUGUAACUCUGAAAAGACCUGAAUAUUAAGCCUAUAUGGUCAUAGGACAAGAUGUAACUGUUCCCAUAGAAAUUUGGAACUUUUCCAUUUCCUUCCAAUAAGUAAAAUAUAGUCUCAAAACUUUAUCCCAUAUUUUAUUAUAAAGGUCACUACUAAACUAGUCCGCGCGAAUGCACGGGUUGACGACUAGUAUGUUAUAAUCCGGUGCUUCAGAUCAAAAUGACGUCAACUGCGCCUUCGGGGCACGUGCAUGAAGACUUCUCGACAGUCAUUGCCGAGGUCAAGCUGGCUCCGGCCGGUAGACAAUAGAAAACUAGUACUCCAUUAUAUAGGCAGGAGCCUCCGCGCUUGCUUGCUAGUGUUGCUCUCUUCACACUGUCUCGUCCUCUCCAGAUCUAAACACGACAGCGGUGGCCACACACUCUCUCUACUCAUCACUGGUCACAGAUCCAGCCAGAUCCUCUCCGCCGGGGAAGUUGAGAAGGUGCAAAGUUCACGUGGUCGUCCUCCGCGAUGGAUCUUACCCACUGCCGGCGUGUCCCGAUCAGCGUGCCUUGCCGUUCUCUCCCAAGCAUCGCUGGCGAGGGAGGGCCUCCCACCCCUUCUUCCUUGCUGCCGUAGUGUGGGCAGAUCCGGCCUCCCACCGCCCACCUAGCGACAUCCCGGCGACCCUCAGAGAUGCAACUGUCCUGGUCCGCCUACUCUCCAGGAGCUUCACGACCAACCUUUAUGUUGCCCAAUUUUAUUGCAACUAAUGAAGAAGCUCUGUGGGUUUCGUUUUCUGAUGGAAAUGGAACCGGGGCUGGAGCCCUUUUCUUAAAAGAAGAAGAAGAAGCUACUAGCUCAUGGGACAUUGCUUCA